AAAGACAACGCCUCACAAGGUAAAACAUGCUGUUUAGCCAUUGUCUCCUUUUACAAACGACGCAGCUUUUUGUCGUUCGUGUGGCACUAUUCCCCUCCUAUGGUUAAAAAUGCACUUGGAUAUGAAGAAAGGAAACAAAAGCAACAAACAAGUGGUAAAUAGUAUCUGAACACGCGACGUCAUUUCGGAACGUGAACGUUUUGGGACAUAGCCGGGGUGUAUUAUUCAGGUAUUCCGUACCCAUAAAAUUUGAACAGACGCAAAUCUCGGUAUCCCUUUCCCAUUGUCCUACGAUUCUGUCGAUGACUUUUUUCCCCUUUUUUAUUACAAUGGCAAUGAUAUUACAAUGAAUACAUCUGAAUUACGUCUCGUCA